CCGACGAGCGAAGCGAGUACAAGAACCAGCUGCGAGAGCGAGCAGUCCAGUCUUGAGUUGACUACGGUGGUGAGUGCGUCCCUGGCUCUAAGUGAAAUUAAGCGGACUUUUCGCUCUUCGCGUCUUCCGAACUUUAAAAGAAACCCGUCAAGAUGAUCAACAAGAACGGCCCAUCCUGCGACAACAGAACUACCAACCUCAUCCAGAGGCAGCUGGUGGUACUCCUGCACGCGCAGCUCUGCCAACAGAGGGAACUCCGGCAGAUUAAUAACAACAGACCUGUCACAAUGUGCCAGCUGCCCUUCUGCAGCGAGAUGAAGGACGUCUUGAACCACCUGAGGACGUGCCAGGUCGGCACCUCUUGCCAGUACACGCACUGCAAGACCUCGAGAGGAAUCCUGUGCCACUGGAGAAGUUGCACAAGCUACGCGUGUCCCCUGUGCCAACCCAUCCGACAGGCCCGCGAGGAUUCGACAAUGCCAAACAUCGGGAAACUCUCGCUCUCUUGAGCGCUUUCAACAUCUUCAAUAGCUCUUAGGAAUUUGAAAAAAAAAAAUUCCUGUAUCCAAUAAGGUUUAGAGUGUAACAACGCAGAACUGUUUCAACGGAUUUGCAAUGCCUGAACAAAAUAAAACUCUACGUAGUGUGUUGGGUCUGACGAAGUUCCCAGGAAGGCUGGGAAGAUUGGCAAGUGUGUGGGUUGCAUGUCCGGUUCACUUUCGAUAUUCAAGACAAAACCUUCUAGCUAUGAAACUAGAUAACCACGCAGAUUUUUCAUAUGGCACAGAGGCAUCACCGCUCGUUUGAUUACAAACAACGUAUACUGUAUGCUGGCGUUUUGCAAUGAAGACUAUGCUGCGGUAGUAAACUGUAGGACAUACAAUAGGCGGUUGAUUUGUACGCUGUGCACUGGCGGCCUGUGCCAGGAUCGCCGACAUUUUGUGCUUGGCAUUAUUUUGUUUUCGCAUCGACUUCCGGUGCUCCUUUAUAAUUCCUGCUUGUUUGUAAGUGUUUAGAUGUAGUAUUUAUCCAAGAGUAGACUACAGGAAACCCUACAAUUCACGAGAUUCUUACGUUACCCGAAAGUAUCCACAGUAUUUAUUCUCACGUGAUAUGUAAGGCUGUUUGUUAUUCCGAGUAUGUUUGGUUUGGUCAUCUGUCUGUGACUCACAUCCCUCUGGUUCUCCAUAAUUUCUGUGAAAUGAACCAGUUUGCGUAGGUUUUGUUUUAUUUAAAUAAUAACCUGGCUAAAAACACUUCACGGUGCACUUUGUGUGCCAAAUGUUUUGACAAGUCGGAGUUUUACAUUACUGCUAUUAUUACAGUAAACAUGGAAGAGAUGACAAUGUUUACUAAUCGUAAUAAAAUCUAAACACGUUAGGACUUUGUGAAACUGAAUCAUUUCCUUAUUCCAUGUAAUAGUACCGAGUAUUACACGAGGCUCCGAUAGGCUGGCUGUAAGAUUCGACGGAAAGGUGAAAAAUCGGUGCAAGAGCUCUCAUGAAAAUGUGGGAAAUCAUUCCAAAACUCCAAAAAUCGUCAAUACUGGUUUUCAGAGUUGCAAAGCAUAUGAUGAGUUUCUUGUCGAUCUUUCUGUUUAAACUGGAAUGGAUUUAGCCUCGCAAUUCCGAGAGCUUUUGAACCGAUCCUGAAGUGAGUGACGAAAAUCUUGUAUAUACUACAGAUGCUGGUGAAGAUUUAAUGUACAGUUUCUUCUUGUUACGGUCGAUACUGAGAAAAAAAAACUGAUUGAGAAUUUUGGAAUAUUGAUACCUAUGUAAAUUCCCUGAAUAAUUCCUAAUGUUCUUUUGAAGACAAACUUGUACAUAGCUCUCAUAAGAAUCAGGAUUACCCAUGAAUAUCCAUUUUCAAGCAGUUUUUUUUUUUGACACGAAUGUAAAUAAAUGAUAAUGUACU